GACAGAGGUCCCGAGCGUUAGGCGGAAUCACUGGGCUUAAAGCGUGUGUAGGCGGAGUGCUAAGUACCUUGUGAAAUCCCACCGGCUCAACCGUGGAACUGCUCGGUAUACUGGUUCUCUUGAGCCACUUAGGGGCAACCGGAACAAACGGUGGAGCGGUGAAAUGCGUAGAUAUCGUUUGGAACGCCAAUGGUGAAAACAGGUUGCUGGGGGUGUGCUGACGCUGAGACACGAAAGCCAGGGGAGCAAACGGG
rnacentral:rRNA from 1 species